rnacentral:lncRNA from 1 species
UUUUCUCCUAUUGCAUUUACAAAUGCCCAGGUAUUCAUGGUUCUGGUUCUAUGUUUGUUCAAUUUCCUGUUUUCUGGUGUUCAGUUAGCCAUGAUAUGUUUCACAAAAGCUUCAUAGUUGAUACAACCAUUGGCAUCUUCCUGGCCAGCCAUUAGCUUAUCAACUUCCUCUUCAGUCAACCUUUCACCCAGCGUAGCCAGAACAUGGCGAAGUUCAG